rnacentral:tRNA from 1 species
GAGAAUAAUUUAAAAUAAAAUUUUAGGCUUCAAACUUAAAAAUAAGCUUAGGCUUUUCUCUUGUU